GAUGAACGCUGGCGGCGUGCCUAAUACAUGCGAGUCGAGCGAACAGACGAGGAGCUUGCUCCUCUGACGUUAGCGGCGGACGGGUGAGUAACACGUGGAUAACCUACCUAUAAGACUGGGAUAACUUCGGGAAACCGGAGCUAAUACCGGAUAAUAUAUUGAACCGCAUGGUUCAAUAGUGAAAGACGGUUUUGCUGUAACUUAUAGAUGGAUCCGCGCCGCAUUAGCUAGUUGGUAAGGUAACGGCUUACCAAGGCAACGAUGCGUAGCCGACCUGAGAGGGUGAUCGGCCACACUGGAACUGAGACACGGUCCAGACUCCUACGGGAGGCAGCAGUAGGGAAUCUUCCGCAAUGGGCGAAAGCCUGACGGAGCAACGCCGCGUGAGUGAUGAAGGUCUUCGGAUCGUAAAACUCUGUUAUUAGGGAAGAACAAAUGUGUAAGUAACUAUGCACGUCUUGACGGUACCUAAUCAGAAAGCCACGGCUAACUACGUG
rnacentral:rRNA from 1 species